UCAAGCAAUGAUGACACACUUGCCCUCACUGAGAAUAAUGUUCGGUAAUGAGAACCUUUGUACUCCCUGAGCUUGA